GGGGAGCCGGAGGGAAACCGAGUCUUAAUUGGGCGUUAAGUUGCAGGGUAUAGACCCGAAACCCGGUGAUCUAGCCAUGGGCAGGUUGAAGGUUGGGUAACACUAACUGGAGGACCGAACCGACUAAUGUUGAAAAAUUAGCGGAUGACCUGUGGCUGGGGGUGAAAGGCCAAUCAAACCGGGAGAUAGCUGGUUCUCCCCGAAAGCUAUUUAGGUAGCGCCUCGUGAAUUCAUCUCCGGGGGUAGAGCACUGUUUCGGCUAGGGGGCCAUCCCGGCUUACCAACCCGAUGCAAACUGCGAAUACCGGAGAAUGUUAUCACGGGAGACACACGGCGGGUGCUAACGUCCGUCGUGAAGAGGGAAACAACCCAGACCGCCAGCUAAGGUCCCAAAGUCAUGGUUAAGUGGGAAACGAUGUGGGAAGGCCCAGACAGCCAGGAUGUUGGCUUAGAAGCAGCCAUCAUUUAAAGAAAGCGUAAUAGCUCACUGGUCGAGUCGGCCUGCGCGGAAGAUGUAACGGGGCUAAACCAUGCACCGAAGCUGCGGCAGCGAACGUAUCACCCAAGACAACUUUACGGAGUUGACGAUUGACGGAGCGAAGCGACGUCAAAGCGUUCAUUAAAGUCGAGUUGGCUUAGGGAUACGUUCGUUGGGUAGGGGAGCGUUCUGUAAGCCUGUGAAGGUGUGUCGUGAGGCAUGCUGGAGGUAUCAGAAGUGCGAAUGCUGACAUAAGUAACGAUAAAGCGGGUGAAAAGCCCGCUCGCCGGAAGACCAAGGGUUCCUGUCCAACGUUAAUCGGGGCAGGGUGAGUCGACCCCUAAGGCGAGGCCGAAAGGCGUAGUCGAUGGGAAACGGGUUAAUAUUCCCGUACUUGGUGUUACUGCGAAGGGGGGACGGAGAAGGCUAUGUUGGCCGGGCGACGGUUGUCCCGGUUUAAGCGUGUAGGUGUGUGUUCCAGGUAAAUCCGGUUCACUUUAACACUGAGGCGUGACGACGAGGCACUACGGUGCUGAAGCAACAAAUGCCCUGCUUCCAGGAAAAGCCUCUAAGCAUCAGGUAACACGAAAUCGUACCCCAAACCGACACAGGUGGUCAGGUAGAGAAUACCAAGGCGCUUGAGAGAACUCGGGUGAAGGAACUAGGCAAAAUGGUGCCGUAACUUCGGGAGAAGGCACGCUGACACGUAGGUGAAGUGAUUUACUCAUGGAGCUGAAGUCAGUCGAAGAUACCAGCUGGCUGCAACUGUUUAUUAAAAACACAGCACUGUGCAAACACGAAAGUGGACGUAUACGGUGUGACGCCUGCCCGGUGCCGGAAGGUUAAUUGAUGGGGUCAGCGCAAGCGAAGCUCCUGAUCGAAGCCCCGGUAAACGGCGGCCGUAACUAUAACGGUCCUAAGGUAGCGAAAUUCCUUGUCGGGUAAGUUCCGACCUGCACGAAUGGCGUAAUGAUGGCCAGGCUGUCUCCACCCGAGACUCAGUGAAAUUGAACUCGCUGUGAAGAUGCAGUGUACCCGCGGCAAGACGGAAAGACCCCGUGAACCUUUACUAUAGCUUGACACUGAACAUUGAGCCUUGAUGUGUAGGAUAGGUGGGAGGCUUUGAAGUGUGGACGCCAGUCUGCAUGGAGCCGACCUUGAAAUACCACCCUUUAAUGUUUGAUGUUCUAACGUGGACCCGUAAUCCGGGUUGCGGACAGUGUCUGGUGGGUAGUUUGACUGGGGCGGUCUCCUCCUAAAGAGUAACGGAGGAGCACGAAGGUUGGCUAAUCCUGGUCGGACAUCAGGAGGUUAGUGCAAUGGCAUAAGCCAGCUUGACUGCGAGCGUGACGGCGCGAGCAGGUGCGAAAGCAGGUCAUAGUGAUCCGGUGGUUCUGAAUGGAAGGGCCAUCGCUCAACGGAUAAAAGGUACUCCGGGGAUAACAGGCUGAUACCGCCCAAGAGUUCAUAUCGACGGCGGUGUUUGGCACCUCGAUGUCGGCUCAUCACAUCCUGGGGCUGAAGUAGGUCCCAAGGGUAUGGCUGUUCGCCAUUUAAAGUGGUACGCGAGCUGGGUUUAGAACGUCGUGAGACAGUUCGGUCCCUAUCUGCCGUGGGCGCUGGAGAACUGAGGGGGGCUGCUCCUAGUACGAGAGGACCGGAGUGGACGCAUCACUGGUGUUCGGGUUGUCAUGCCAAUGGCACUGCCCGGUAGCUAAAUGCGGAAGAGAUAAGUGCUGAAAGCAUCUAAGCACGAAACUUGCCCCGAGAUGAGUUCUCCCUGAGACUUAGAGUCUCCUGAAGGAACGUUGAAGACGACGACGUUGAUAGGCCGGGUGUGUAAGCGCAGCGAUGCGUUGAGCUAACCGGUACUAAUGAACCGUGAGGCUUAACCUUACAAC
rnacentral:rRNA from 1 species